rnacentral:rRNA from 1 species
GAUGAACGCUGACAGAAUGCUUAACACAUGCAAGUCUUUGGCGAAGCUGUGCUUGCACAGCCUAGCCAAGGCGGACGGGUGAGUAACGCGUAAGGAACUUGCCCUGCAGUCAGGGAUAACAGACGGAAACGACUGAUAAGACCUGGUAAAGUCAGGCGGACUCAUGUCCAGCCUGAUGAAAAGAGAUGCUGCAGGAGAGCCUUGCGUCCUAUUAGCUUGUUGGUGGGGUAACGGCCCACCAAGGCGAUGAUAGGUAGCCGGCCUGAGAGGGUGGACGGCCACAAGGGGGCUGAGAUACGGCCCUUACUCCUACGGGAGGCAGCAGUGGGGAAUAUUGGACAAUGGGGGCAACCCUGAUCCAGCAAUUCUGUGUGCACGAUGAAGGUUUUCGGAUUGUAAAGUGCUUUCAGCAGGGAAGAAAAAAAUGACGGUACCUGCAGAAGAAGCGACGGCUAAAUACGUG